UAGUUUGACUCCGUGGCUACGAGGACGAACGCUGGCGGCGUGCCUAACACAUGCAAGUCGAGCGGGGUCCAUCCGGUAGCAAUACUGGGGAAGACCUAGCGGCGAACGGGUGAGUAACACGUGAGAAACCUGCCCCGAAGUCUGGGAUAACCCGAGGAAACUCGAGCUAAUACCGGACGCCUUCUUCUGAUCGCAUGGUCGGAUGAAGAAAGAUUUAUCGCUUCGGGAGGGUCUCGCGGCCUAUCAGCUAGUUGGCGGGGUAACGGCCCACCAAGGCGUCGACGGGUAGCUGGUCUGAGAGGACGAUCAGCCACACUGGGACUGAGACACGGCCCAGACUCCUACGGGAGGCAGCAGUGGGGAAUAUUGCGCAAUGGGCGAAAGCCUGACGCAGCAACGCCGCGUGCGGGAUGAAGGCCUUCGGGUUGUAAACCGCUUUCAGUGGGGACGAAUUCAGACGGUACCCACAGAAGAAGCCCCGGCCAACUACGUG
rnacentral:rRNA from 1 species